rnacentral:rRNA from 1 species
UGGGAAUUUGGACAAUGGGCGAAAGCCUGAUCCAGCAAUGCCGCGUGUGUGAAGAAGGCCUUCGGGUUGUAAAGCACUUUUGUCCGGAAAGAAAUCCUUGGCUCUAAUACAGUCGGGGGAUGACGGUACCGGAAGAAUAAGCACCGGCUAACUACGUGCCAGCAGCCGCGGUAAUACGUAGGGUGCAAGCGUUAAUCGGAAUUACUGGGCGUAAAGCGUGCGCAGGCGGUUUGCUAAGACCGAUGUGAAAUCCCCGGGCUCAACCUGGGAACUGCAUUGGUGACUGGCAGGCUAGAGUAUGGCAGAGGGGGGUAGAAUUCCACGUGUAGCAGUGAAAUGCGUAGAGAUGUGGAGGAAUACCGAUGGCGAAGGCAGCCCCCUGGGCCAAUACUGACGCUCAUGCACGAAAGCGUGGGGAGCAAACAGGAUUAGAUACCCUGGUAGUCCACGCCCUAAACGAUGUCGACUAGUUGUUGGGGAUUCAUUUCCUAGUAACGUAGCUAACGCGUGAAGUUGACCGCCUGGGGAGUACGGUCGCAAGAUUAAAACUCAAAGGAAUUGACGGGGUCAUAGCUGUUUCCU